CGGGACAGCAAUAAUCGAUCCAUUAAAUGCUAUGCAAUUAUAUAGUCGAAUUCUAAUGUCGACAUCAAGCAUACUAGUUGUCUGACUAGUCUCAAUAUUUUCUCCCUCCUUAAAUAGCUGCUGACCCUAUGCUUCUGCAACUUUGCCAAUUUGUAGCCGAGAGAGUCUGAUACUGCUGCCAAAACUCGAAGACGGAAAAAGAGAGAGAUCGAUGGGAAACAUUUUUGCAAUAUGCCAGCCCAUCUUGCAUGGAGUAAUGAAGCUAGCAGGGGUGAGACCCCAAACCCUAGAGAUCGAACCAGGAACUGUAAUGAACUUCUGGGUUCCUUCUGAAACCAACUCGAAAAAGUCGAAGCCCGCCGUGGUCUUUCUUCACGGAUUUGCAGUGGACGGCAUCAUAACAUGGCAAUUUCAAGUCCUAUCUCUCGCCAGAGACUACGCCAUUUACGUACCCGAUCUUAUCUUCUUCGGCGGAUCCAUCACGGAUAAACCCGACCGGUCGCCGGAGUUCCAAGCCGAGUGUGUGGCGAAGGGUUUGAGGAAGCUUGGGGUGAAGAGGUGCACCCUUGUGGGGUUGAGCUACGGAGGCAUGGUGGGGUUUAAGAUGGCGGAGCUGUACCCUGAUAUGGUUGAGGCCGUUGUCUUGACUUGCUCCGUUAUGGCUUUGACCAAGUCCGUUAGCGACGCCGGACUUGGGAGGAUUGGGUUCUCACGGUGGACGGGUUACUUGCUUCCCGACUCUGUCAAAGGAGUCUGAGACAUUUUUGAAAUUGCUGCCUACGAGUUUCCUCACCUUCCUGAUUGGAUCUACAGACAAUACUUGGAAGUAAUGUUUGACAACCGCAAGGAGAGGGAAGAACUUCUUGAGGCUUUGGUCAUCCGUGACGAAGAUUUCGCCGUGCCUAACUUUCCACAGAGGGUGUAUCUUUUGUGGGGAGCGAAUGACAAGAUCUUCGACAUAGACACUGCAAGCGACCUCAACAGGCAAUUAGGCAACAACGCAUCAGUGGAUCUUAUAGAAAAGGCAGGUCACCUUGUUCAAAUGGAGCGACCAUUCAUGUAUAACAGGCAGCUCAGGAAAUUUUUGGCGUCUUUAUCAGAAGAUAUGCACCAAGACUAG